UUGAAAGGGAAACGAUUGAAGUCAGUCGUGCUGGCGCGAAAUCAACCUUCUCGUCUUGAGAUCACAUGGCGUGGCGAGCCUCAAAACCGUCACGAAGCGUGAACUCUUGGUGAAAUGGAGCACUUUCGUGUCCGCUGGUUAACAUCAAUUUCGAACGUCAUAAAAAGGCUGGAGGGAUGUGGCUCCUUCGGGAGUGUUAUAACCUUUAGCGGAAUGUGGUGUUCGGGAUUGAGGAUUGCAACGAAUACCUUUAGGGCUGUUCCACCUGGCUUCUCUUUGGUAUCCUGGUGACGACAGCUUCUGACGUCGUUAGGAUUCGCCUUUGAACAGGCUAGAGUGUGAGCAAAUCGUUAAGGAUGUUGACGUA
rnacentral:rRNA from 1 species